UACGUAGGGUGCGAGCGUUAAUCGGAAUUACUGGGCGUAAAGCGUGCGCAGGCGGUUUUGUAAGCCAGGUGUGAAAUCCCCGGGCUUAACCUGGGAAUUGCAUUUGUGACUGCACGGCUAGAGUGUGUCAGAGGGGGGUAGAAUUCCACGUGUAGCAGUGAAAUGCGUAGAUAUGUGGAGGAAUACCGAUGGCGAAGGCAGCCCCCUGGGAUAACACUGACGCUCAUGCACGAAAGCGUGGGGAGCAAACAGG
rnacentral:rRNA from 1 species